rnacentral:rRNA from 3 species
ACGGGUGCGUAACGCGUAUGCAAUCUGCCUUUCACAGAGGGAUAGCCCAGAGAAAUUUGGAUUAAUACCUCAUAGUAUUAUUGGGUGGCAUCACUUAAUAAUUAAAGUCACAACGGUGAAAGAUGAGCAUGCGUCCCAUUAGCUAGUUGGUAAGGUAACGGCUUACCAAGGCAACGAUGGGUAGGGGUCCUGAGAGGGAGAUCCCCCACACUGGUACUGAGACACGGACCAGACUCCUACGGGAGGCAGCAGUGAGGAAUAUUGGUCAAUGGACGCAAGUCUGAACCAGCCAUGCCGCGUGCAGGAUGACGGUCCUAUGGAUUGUAAACUGCUUUUGUACGAGAAGAAACAACAUUACGUGUAAUGUCUUGACGGUAUCGUAAGAAUAAGGAUCGGCUAACUCCGUGCCAGCAGCCGCGGUAAUACGGAGGAUCCAAGCGUUAUCCGGAAUCAUUGGGUUUAAAGGGUCCGUAGGCGGUUUAGUAAGUCAGUGGUGAAAGCCCAUCGCUCAACGGUGGAACGGCCAUUGAUACUGCUGAACUUGAAUUAUUAGGAAGUAACUAGAAUAUGUAGUGUAGCGGUGAAAUGC